UUUUGAGUGAGAGACACAGCUUUUGCAAACUCCAACUUCACUGCGUCACUGGGCCCAGGAUAAAAUAAAUCAGUGCUGCUUUUUUUAAAAACAUGUCUUGUCCCAUUUUUGAACACCAAGUUAGGGGGCUCUAGAGGGCUUGUUUGUGGGCCACAAGAUUUGGGUGCUCACCCGGGAUUACUGGGGGACCCCUCCAAUUAUUUUUCACUGAUCGAUUGGCUAAACAUCUUAGAACAAUGGCCUACCACAUGGCACCCUGGGACAAAAAAGCAGUGUGCCAUCCAGAUGAAACCUGUCCUCUGAUCCAGAAUGCCAGAACCAUGCUUUCCUUUUGUCUCACUCCAACUGGACAACCAGAGAUCUGACCACCAUCAGUUUCAAGGGGACAGUGGCUUCAAACCCUGCUACUCUGCUACCUGAUGAUGACCCCUCCUUGCCCCUCCAUGACUGCAUUGGGGACCAGACUUGACAGAUGAGCCACUAUUCAGAGUUCCUUUGUAUUUCUCCAAUGGAAGCAGUUACAUCUAUAAAGGCCACUACAAGGACAGAUGCCCUGCAGUACAGCCUGAGACACUAGUUCUCAUCAAGAGGCAUCACCAUGAAUCUCUUGAGCCACAAUAAAAAAAUCCCUACACUGUGGGUCCUCAGCACUCCAACUGCUGUCAAAGUCACUGAAAAGCCCGCCUGGAUUCAUCAUUCCCCCCUUCAAGCUAGUCCCGGCCUCUGACGGGGAUCAACCUACAGAUAAGUGGACUGUUGUUCACUCUAAGGACUCUUUAAAGCUUAAGAUUGCUAAAGAUAUCUGAUAAUGUUGUUCUUGUGUAUUCUCCCUCAUGGAGACCCCAAGGAAGCUUCUGUCUGGCUUUAGGAAAAAAAUUGUUCCUUGUAUGCCAAUCAUUCUGGAGUCAUCAGGCAAACCAGAGCUAAUUUAAAUGUUGGUUUUCUUUCUCCCUUUGGUUAACAGCUUUAAUAAUAGUGGCUGCGAGACCUUUGUUAAUCCUCCUAUUGGGCCUUGUAUUAUAAAUCAAUUGGUAAACUAUGUCAAAGUUUGAGUUCAAACUAUAAAGCUUAUGAUUUUAAAGACAUAAGGUUAUAAACAGAUACCUAUGUCUAGAAACCCUAUGAGCCAAUGAUUUGGAUCACUGACUAAAAUCAGUGCAGAGUGUUAUACACUAACAAAAAGAGCUUUGUUAUGUUUGUGUUUUGUUUGCCAAUGUCCAAGUUAUAUGACCAAAUUGCCUGUAGCGCUGUCAUACCGUUCUGUAUGUGCCAUCUUCCUGGGUGACCUAAUUGAUAUGUUAAUCAUUGUUCCCCUCUGCAAAGAACUGUAAAUUCCUGGGAAUCUGGCCUGACUAAUAUGUUAACCAUUGUUCCCCUCUGCAAAGGACAGAUGUUAUCUAAAAUUAAGUACUAAAAUUAGUUGACAAAGGAUUAUAAAUUCCUGUGAGACUUCUCUGUCUUCUGCAAAGGGAAACAAAGGUCUUCCUCAUUCCUUAGCAGAUCAAGGAUUUUCUUAUUUCCUGAUCCAUGCCCAUAACCCCUUACUUUGUAAAUCAUGCUUUCUGCAAAAAGUCUGGAAAGUUUUGAGUGAGAGACACAGCUUUUGCAAACUCCAACUUCACUGCAUCACUGGGCCCAGGAUAAAAUAAAUCAGUGCUGCUUUUUUAAAAAACAUGUCUUGCCCCAUUUUUGGACACCAAGUUGGGGGGCUCUGGGGGGCUUGUUUGUGGGCUGCAAGAAAAACCAAUCAAAACAAACCAGUGUAAGUGAUAUAGGACUUCAAAACAUUACAAAAUCAACAAUAGUUACCAUAAUACCUUUUGUCUUCAAAACAGCUGCAGAUACCUUCAGACAUAGUAAAACUGAACAGAACAGAAUAGAAUAAAAACAAAACAAUGAACACAAUAAAGAACUUCAAAACAAGCCAAUAGUAAAUUCAAAAUGGCAACCAUCAUAUAUCUUGCUAUCUUUGGAAUAGCUGCUCAUACCAUCAGAUUUAACAUAAUCCAACAAAACAAAAGAGAAUAAAACCCAACCCCAAAAAACAGUGAAAAAUAUAGGGCUUUGUUAUAACCUAAGCCCCUCUAACUAUGCGCCGAAGCCUGUUCUGUAUAAGCCCACCUGCUGCUUCCCCUCCCCUUCUCCCUUCACAUCUAACUAGGUUAAGUUUUAACUUCCCAAAAGGCCAUAAAACAAAGGCCUGAGGUAAUAGCUCCUGACAACACCCCCUUCCCUACCUGGUCACAAAUUGUGUUAAUUGCAUUAGAUUGUAUUAGAUUGAACUAUUCUUCACAAAAUAGCUUCGUUAUAUUUGUAUCAUAGCAAUACCUGUAACUUGGCCUUACUGUUUGUGUUUUCCUUUUUCCUUUGGAUGACCUAAUUGAUAUGUUAAUCAAUGCUCUCCUCUGUAAAGAAUUGUAAAAUCUUACCUAAUUGAUAUGUUAACCAUUGUUGCCCUCUACAAAUCGCAGUUGUGGUGCUAAAGUAAGGUAACUAAAGUUGUUAAUUGCUGUUAGACUUCUCUAUUCUUUGCUAAGAAAAACAAGACUUCAUCUUAUCUAAACUUGCUUGUAUGCAGGGAGACUUGCAAUUUCUGCUUUGUAGUGCGUCACACCCCCAUCCCCUUCCUUACAUUGUGUGACCAGCAGCUGUUUGUGGAUUUACAAGAUAAAAGACCUGACUUUUAGCUGUGAGGUGCGCAGUCUCCAAAUUGGCUCCUGGAGGCUGUGUCACCAGGCCUGGAAAUAAAGCCUUUGCUUCCCAAAUUUUAA